UCCCGACUCAGUGUGCAAUUUGUUAUUUUUCACUGAUGUCGGAUGCAAUCCUCUACUCCAUCCUCUGGUAACACCAUCAUAGAGGUAUAAUGCAGGAGAUACAGAUUUUUGUGAUGAUGUGCCUUACCUUAGCAUGUGAAUGCUGCAUAGAGGACAGGAUAACUGCUUUGGAAUCGAGAAUGUAUUAUGUAGAGUUAUUGAAAAGAAGAAUAUCUUCACUUGAAGCAAAGCUCGACGCAGCUCAAAAAAUGGGUUGUCAGUCUGGUGUGGUGGAACUUGGCGAAUCACCAUUGCCGAAUAAACAAGUCAGUCACAUAAUAAGAUUUGAGAGGCCAUUUUUGAAAAUUCCAGCAAUUGUGUGUGGCAUGCGGGAAUUAGAAGCUGACAGGAAUCAUGACGUUCGUAUCAAUGCAAUUCCUUUCAAUGUAUCAACGACAGGAUUGUCUAUGAAAAUCUUUUCCUGGGGUGAAUCAUGUACACACAACGCCAUUUUCUCGUGGAUGGCAUGUCCGAUGGUUACUUAGCAACGACCAAUUUAGUCACAAAACAUUUUCUAUCUGAAUAAUAGGAUUCUUAAAAUGUUAAAAUUCCUUUUUAGAGCUGAACUUUUUUUCUGUUUGAAAUUGAAAAAAAAGAGCGAAUUG